rnacentral:rRNA from 1 species
GGACGAACGCUGGCGGCGUGCUUAACACAUGCAAGUCGAGCGGUAAGGCCCUUUCGGGGGUACGACGAGCGGCGAACGGGUGAGUAACACGUGGGUGACCUGCCCUCAGCUCUGGGAUAAGCCCGGGAAACUGGGUCUAAUACCGGAUAUGACUCCAUGACGCAUGUUGUGGGGUGGAAAGCCUUGUGCGGCUGAGGAUGGGCCCGCGGCCUAUCAGCUUGUUGGUGGGGUGAUGGCCACCAAGGCGACGACGGGUAGCCGGCCUGAGAGGGCGACCGGCCACACUGGGACUGAGACACGGCCCAGACUCCUACGGGAGGGCAGCAGUGGGGAAUCUUGCGCAAUGGGCGAAAGCCUGACGCAGCGACGCCGCGUGAGGGACGACGGCC